rnacentral:lncRNA from 10 species
CCAGCCGGACAGUGAAACGCACAAUGUCAGGAGUAACGCGGCUUCACAACCGGAAAAUGGGUGAUUUUAUGGCAAAGAGUUUAUAAAAACAUCCCUUGGACUUUAUUUUAUGACAAAAGAUAGGAAAACACCUCUUAAUCUAUUUCAAAAUAGUAAUUAGCCAAUGUUUAAAUUUCAAGAGGAAAAAUCCGAAUUACAGGAUUUUAAAGAAUAUGGUUUUAGGCCAGGCGCGCCUGGUGGCUCAGGCCUAUAAUCCCAGCACUUUGGGAGGCCGAGGCGGGAGGAUCGCUUGAGCCCAGUUCAGACCAGCCUGGGCAACACAGUGAGACCCCGUCUCUUAAAAAAAAAAAAAGGUAAAAAAAAAAAGCUUGUAGUGUUCAUAUGUAUAUAUAUAUAUUAUUCAAUAUAUUACGGUAACUAAGUCCUGCCUAGUAAAAUCUUUUUUUUUGUAAUAAAAUUAGCAACUCACUAAAUUUAUGUGAAUAUAUGGUUUUAAAAACUCUCAAUGAAGAUUAAAAGUUCACUGUCAGAGGUUUCAGCAGUCCUUUCCCAAGCUUAUUUACAUGCUAAUUUUGCUUAGUAAACUCUGGCUUCAAAGAACACAAAGGUCAGCUGCCACCAGGUCCCUCCUCCGAGGCUUUGGCCCUAGGGACCCUGGGAAGGCGGCUUCAGUGCCCGCUUCCCUGAGCAAAGGCUCGUCUGGACUCUGACGCGGACCCACCGGGUGGGGUGGGUCUCCACGCCACCCGGCUGUGCGUGGGGCAAGUCCUGCACCCCGGGCCUGCGUUUCCCGCUGCGUGAACGGAUGGUCUUGCGAAUCUAGCCAAGGGCACACAGCGAGCCUCUACUCGGGCAUUAGGCAGGCUGUAACGACUGAGUGCUGCACGGGCAGCGUCCUUUUGCUUGUGUUUUCUUAACCCGUAAGUCAUUUAAAGCUUUGUUUUGGAACGACCCUCUAGUGAAAUUGGAACAUGCCCAUUUAAUGCCAUAUUUUAAAAACGCUGUAACCCCCUCCCAUCUCCGCGUUCACCCUUGAGGAAAUCCUAACAGUCACCAUGGAUAUAAACAUUAAUAACAAAAUUAAAGCUCAUAACAGGC